rnacentral:rRNA from 1 species
CGCUCAGAUUGAACGCUGGCGGCAGGCCUAACACAUGCAAGUCGAGCGGAUGAGUGGAGCUUGCUCCAUGAUUCAGCGGCGGACGGGUGAGUAAUGCCUAGGAAUUUGCCUAUUAGUGGGGGGCAACGUUUCGAAAGGAACGCUAAUACCGCAUACGUCCUACGGGAGAAAGCAGGGGACCUUCGGGCCUUGCGCUAAUAGAUGAGCCUAGGUCGGAUUAGCUAGUUGGUGAGGUAAUGGCUCACCAAGGCGACGAUCCGUAACUGGUCUGAGAGGAUGAUCAGUCACACUGGAACUGAGACACGGUCCAGACUCCUACGGGAGGCAGCAGUGGGGAAUAUUGGACAAUGGGCGAAAGCCUGAUCCAGCCAUGCCGCGUGUGUGAAGAAGGUCUUCGGAUUGUAAAGCACUUUAAGUUGGGAGGAAGGGCAUUAACCUAAUACGUUAGUGUUUUGACGUUACCGACAGAAUAAGCGCC